rnacentral:rRNA from 1 species
GAUGAACGCUGGCGGCGUGCCUAAUACAUGCAAGUCGAGCGAACAGACGAGGAGCUUGCUCCUCUGACGUUAGCGGCGGACGGGUGAGUAACACGUGGAUAACCUACCUAUAAGACUGGGAUAACUUCGGGAAACCGGAGCUAAUACCGGAUAAUAUAUUGAACCUCAUGGUUCAAUAGUGAAAGACGGUUUUACUGUCACUUAUACAUUGAUCCGCGCCGCAUUAGCUAGUUGGUAAGGUAACGGCUUACCAAGGCAACGAUGCGUAGCCGACCUGAGAGGGUGAUCGGCCACACUGGAACUGAGACACGGUACAGACUCCUACGGGAGGCAGCAGUAGGGAAUCUUCAGCAAUGGGCGAAAGCAUGACGGAGCAACGCAGCGUGAGUGAUGAAGGUCUUCGGAUCGUAAAACUCUGUUAUUAGGGAAGAACAAAUGUGUAAGUAACUAUGCACGUAUUGACGGUACCUAAUCAGAAAGCCAGGGCUAACUACGUG